rnacentral:rRNA from 1 species
GCUUACGGCCACACCGCCUUGUUCACGCCCGAUUUCGGGAAGCUAAGAUAGGUUGGGCCUGGUUAGUACUUGGAUGGGAGACCGCCUGGGAAUACCAGGUGCUGUAAGCU